rnacentral:rRNA from 1 species
GACGAACGCUGGCGGCGUGCUUAACAUAUGCAAGUCGAACGGAAAGGCCCUGCUUUUGUGGGGUGCUCGAGUGGCGAACGGGUGGGUAACACGUGAGUAACCUGCCCUUGACUUUGGGAUAACUUCAGGAAACUGGGGCUAAUACCGGAUAGGAGCUCCUGCUGCAUGGUGGGGGUUGGAAAGUUUCGGCGGUUGGGGAUGGACUCGCGGCUUAUCAGCUUGUUGGUGGGGUAGUGGCUUACCAAGGCUUUGACGGGUAGCCGGCCUGGGAGGGUGACCGGCCACAUUGGGACUGAGAUACGGCCCAGACUCCUACGGGAGGCAGCAGUGGGGAAUAUUGCACAAUGGGCGGAAGCCUGAUGCAGCAACGCCGCGUGCGGGAUGACGGCCUUCGGGUUGUAAACCGCUUUCGCCUGUGACGAAGCGUGAGUGACGGUAAUGGGUAAAGAAGCACCGGCUAACUACGUG